rnacentral:rRNA from 1 species
UGGGGAAUUUUGCACAAUGGGGGAAACCCUGAUGCAGCGACGCCGCGUGAUUUAGAAGGCCUUCGGGUUGUAAAAAUCUUUUCUAUGGGAAGAAAAUGACAGUACCAUAGGAAUAAGGACCGGCUAAUUACGUGCCAGCAGCCGCGGUAAUACGUAAGGUCCGAGCGUUGUCCGGAAUCAUUGGGCGUAAAGGGUACGUAGGCGGGUAAGCAAGUUAGAAGUGAAAUCCUAUAGCUCAACUAUAGUAAGCUUUUAAAACUGCUCAUCUAGAGGUAUGGAAGGGAAAGUGGAAUUCCUAGUGUAGCGGUGAAAUGCGCAGAUAUUAGGAGGAAUACCGGUGGCGAAGGCGACUUUCUGGCCAUAACCUGACGCUGAGGUACGAAAGCGUGGGUAGCAAACAGG